UACGUAGGGUGCGAGCGUUGUCCGGAAUUAUUGGGCGUAAAGAGCUUGUAGGCGGUCUGUCGCGUCUGCUGUGAAAAAUCCGGGGCUCAACCCCCGGACUUGCAGUGGGGUACGGGCAGACUAGAGGGUAGGCAGGGGGAGAGCGGAACUCCUGGUGUAGCGGUGGAAUGCGCAGAUAUCAGGAAGAACACCGGUGGCGGAAGGCGGCUC
rnacentral:rRNA from 1 species